CAACCAUUUUGCAUGCGUCUCACGCUGCUCAUUGGUUGCACGGGUUGGUAACACCGGGAGUUCAUGGUCAAGAACAUAAGCUAUCUUUUCGCAACUCAAGACAAUCUUCAAGUUGAGGAGCCAAUCUUUAUAGUUUGUUCCGGUCAACCUAUUGUUAUCUAGAAUUCGAACUAUCGGGUUGGAAGCCAUUGACAUCUGC
rnacentral:lncRNA from 1 species